rnacentral:hammerhead_ribozyme from 1 species
AUCAAGGUGACGAGCCCCAAAUAGGACGAAACGUGCGUCCUGUAU